ACACCGCCUCCGGGGAGCGCCUCGUGCGCUGAGAGUGUGGCGACAGCCACAGACCCGCGGAACCUGAUCCGGCUCGUACCGGCGAAGGAAGCAGGCCCGUCGAUCGUU
rnacentral:ncRNA from 2 species